GGACACAAUUCAAUCCAUAACUCCUUCCUUUGGUGAAAAAAAAGUCUCAGAACUUAAAAAUAUUUUCUAUAAACAAAUUCAUUUUUUUCUUUAAAGAGGAAGUGAGACUUGAAGAAGUGACAUUAUGGGAAUAAAGGAAGUUAGAAGCUGAAGUCUCAGGAAUUGAUCGACAUCUGACUACAGGGCAACUUGUUCUGCUCAGUGUGACUUGAAUUUCAGAAAUUUGGGAACUCCGUUUUUUUUGUGGUAAAAUAUGUAUAAAAAAAUAGAACCUAAAAUUUGCCAUCUUCGCCAUUUUAAGGGUAAACUCAGUGGCAUUAAUUACACCCACAAGGUGGUGCAACCAUCACCGCCACCUCCUUCCAAAACUUUUCGUCACCCCAAACAGAAACUGCGUCCCCAUUAAGCUGGAAGAACACAUUAUUUUUCAGUUGCAGUCAAAUCAAUUCCAGCUCAUGGUGACUUCCUAAGUGCAGAGCAGAACUGCUGCAUAGGGUUUUUUUUUCCAAGACCGUGACCUUUCAGAAGCAGAUUGCCCGGCCUGCCUUCUGAGGCACCUCUGGGUGAUUUGGAACCACCAGCCUCCCAACUAGUAGUCGAAUGUUUAACUGUUUGUGCCCCGCAGCCUUAGAAUGUACUGUUUUUUAAAUUGAUGUUCCUCCCCUCUUCAGUGACUUCCUUUCUUUUUUCUUUAUUUGUAAAGCGAAAAGAGACGUUUUAUGUGAUAUAUAUUCCAAGAGGCAAAAGUAGGAAAGGAACAAGCAUACUGCCAAAGCUGUGACUGUCUGAGUCCCAGGAAUAUUACAGAAUAGGCAAAAGUGGGAAAACGGACUAGCAUGCUGUUGAAGUCGAAGGAUGUUACAGAAUCAUCAGUAUACAUUAACAUUAUAAAAUGGGUAAAAUUCUUGAAAGCUUCGCCUUUUCAGAGAUUCGCUAAAAACUGCUAAAUCACCAUGAUUCUGCAUUUUGAAUUUUCUUUCUUAUUAGUCAUUGGUAUGUUGUUGUUGUUGUUAGGUGCUGUUGAGUCAGUUCCAACUAAUAGCGACCCUAUGCACAACAGAACGAAACACUGCCCAGUCCUGAGCCAUCCUUACAAUCAUUGUUAUGCUUGAGCCCAUUGUUGCAACCACUGUGUCAGUCCACCUCGUUGAGGGUCUUCCUCUUUUCCCGUGACCCUGUACUCUGCCGAGCAUGAUGUCCUUCUCCAGGGACUGAUCCCUCCUGACAACAUGUCCAAGGAAAGGAAUUGCUGGAUCAUAUGGUAGUUCUGCCUGGUCAUGCAGAGGGUCAUAGACAAAGAGGGAACCCCUCCAUGAAAUGAAUCAACACGGUGGCUGCGACAAUGCAAACUAUUGUGAGGAUGGGCUCCAUUUCACACAGAGCCAACUUGUCAACAACUAACAACAACAAAGCCUGUGAGCAGAGCAUUGCUCUCCUGCCUGCUGAUCUCGGAUUCGCCAGCCCUUGCAGCUACGUGAAUCAGGACAAGCCUUGCAGUCUUACUUGUUGAUCUUGGGAUUCAUGGAUAUUCACAACCUGUGAGCAAGAGCCCUGCCUUCUGACCUGCUGAUCUUGGGUUCACCAGCCCUUUCAGCUACGUGAAUUGGGAGGAGCCUCUAUCCUAAUCCAUGGACUUGAGAACCCAGCCUAAGACAGGAGACUUCAUCGCAACCUACCCAAUACCCAAGCCAGGAACCUGGGCUUCAUUCCUGACUUCUCUACAUACGGUCAGUCACAAGUCAUAUCACCCCAAAUGUCCCUCUUCUCUACCCCUAUGGCCACCAUCCUGACCACAGUUCUCAUCGCCUCUUGCCUGAAUUAUUACCUGAACCUCCUCUCUGGUCUUUUCUACCAUAUUUCCCUCUCUAAACCACUCAUAUACCAUGGACUACCUAAAGAAUGAACAAAUCUGUCUUGGAAGAAGUACAACCAGAAUGCUCCUUAGAAACAAGGAUGGCAAGACUAUGCCUCACAUACUUUGGACAUGUUAUCAGGAGGGAUCAGUCCCUGGAAAAGGACAUCAUGCUUGGUAAAAUAGAUGGCCAGCAAAAAAGAGGAAGACCCUCAAUAAGACAGAUUGACACAGUGACUGCAACAAUGGGCUCAAGCAUAGCAACAACAGUGAGGAUGGUGCAGGACUGGGCAGUGUUUCAUUCUGUUGUACAUAGGGUUGCCAUGAGUUGGAACUGAUUAGAUGGCACCUAAAAAUAACAACAACAAACCAUCCUCAACCUGCCUCCAGAGUUGACUUUCUAAAAUACAACACAGCGCUCUGCUGUCUAAGCCUUGCUUGUCUGUCUCCACAUGGGUUCCCAAGUGUGGAAACAGCUGAUACCUGCUCCAGCUUGCAGACACACAGAACCCUUGACAUGAUUUGCUAAUGUUUGGUGAGAAUAUUGCAGAUAGACCUGCUAGGGUACACUGUAUCCCACCAUAAAUGCAGACAGAGUGCAUGAAACAGAAAGUUCCAAACUGCAGAAUUUUAAAUAAAUCUAUU